CCCUAAUCAUUUUUUAUUUUUAAAGGCACAACAUAUCCGAUUCCAUACUGCAGCACGAUCAUCCUUAGUUGAUGUCAUUCCCCCUUGCUGAACUGGGAGGGAUAUCCCAAAGGCCAGGCUCAGGGAGAACCUGAGCAGCAUGUUCCUUUAAGCCCUGCACCAUUGGCUUAGCUCAGGCAGAGAGCUUCUGGCUGUUAAAAAGGCAGGGACCUGUGCCUGGCAGACCCCAGAGUAAGAAGUCAGAGAAUUAAAUGAUUUGGCUAUUUCCACUGGGGGUGCCAGGUCACUCAUGGCACCUUAACCACUACUGUGUGCUCCUCUGUUCCUUUAAAUGAAAACUGUCGGAAUGCAAAUAGUUAAAUAUGCGGAUGGGUUUACAUUCUACAUUUAUAUACUUUUGUGUAGUAGUUUUGGAUUAUGUGACCGCUAUUAAAGUUAUAGUCCUAUAAUGCCAAAUGUUUAGUUUUAGUAUUGGAUUUCACUCCUUUUUCAAGUUUGUCCUAUAGCUUCCAUAAAUCAAAAGACAUAGCACACAUCAACAUUUCUCCACACUUGUGUUCAACGGAGGGGAGCAGCAUAUUCUCAGUAUCAUGAAGAAAUUUGGGCAAACAAGUCGUAAGAUGACUUUAAUCGGUACCAGCCAAAAGACAUUUCAACUCCAUCCGGGAGUGUUAU